rnacentral:rRNA from 1 species
GACGUAGGGCGCGAGCGUUGUCCGGAUUUAUUGGGCGUAAAGAGCUCGUAGGCGGCUUGUCGCGUCGAAUGUGAAAACCCACGGCUCAACUGUGGGCUUGCAUUCGAUACGGGCAGGCUAGAGUUCGGUAGGGGAGACUGGAAUUCCGUGGUGUAGCGGUGAAAUGCGCAGAUAUCAGGAGGAACACCGGUGGCGAAGGCGGGUCUCUGGGCCGUAACUGACGCUCAUGCACGACAGCGUGGGGAUCAAACAGG